UUAGAAGCUGCUUGUUGACUCGCAUCCAAUACCUUUAAUAACAAGCGUCCGCCACCCAGCCAUCAGAGAGAGUCAGGGUGCGGGGACACGGAUUAGGGACUGAUGGAUCUAUUGCAGACUUUCUCCUCUCUGCGAAGUUUUAACUCAGCUCCCAGGCCGCAGAUCAGAGCCUCUCGCUCGCUCCCUCCAAUAGAGAAAUGAUGCAAAGGGGAAACACACCUUCAUCCCAAACUGUUCGCAGAGAAACAACCGCUGUCUAGCUCCCUGGUUAGAGAAUUUUUCACACUGGUCAAACAUAAAUUGCUGUGGAUUGACAUUAGACAUUUCUCAACCUACUGGUUUUGCAGGGCGACAGAUUCCAAGGAUAGAAGGGACCUUGAUCGUCUUCUAGUUGGACCUGCUGCCAAACAAAGGGCCAGAGAACUUCACCCAAUUCUUCCUCCCUCCUGCCCAAGAGCUUCCGGGCGAGCCAGAGAAUGGCUUUAAGAAAGCAGCAAAGAGCCCUGUGGCACCUUAUAGACUAACAGACGUUUUGGAGCAUGAGCUUUCGUGGGUGAAUAUGAAAGAAAGUGACAUUCAAGUGUCAUGUAAAGCAGCGGCUCUCAACCUUUCCAGACGACUGCCCCCCUUUCAGGAGUCUGGUUUGUCUUGUGUACCCCCAAGCUUCACCUCACUUAAAAAUCACUAGCUUACAAAAUCCGACAUAGAAAUACAAAAGUGUCCCAGCCCAGGAUUACUGACAAA